GACGAACGCUGGCGGCGUGCUUAACACAUGCAAGUCGAACGGAAAGGCCCUGCUUUUGUGGGGUGCUCGAGUGGCGAACGGGUGAGUAACACGUGAGUAACCUGCCCUUGACUUUGGGAUAACUUCAGGAAACUGGGGCUAAUACCGGAUAGGAGCUCCUGCUGCAUGGUGGGGGUUGGAAAGUUUCGGCGGUUGGGGAUGGACUCGCGGCUUAUCAGCUUGUUGGUGGGGUAGUGGCUUACCAAGGCUUUGACGGGUAGCCGGCCUGAGAGGGUGACCGGCCACCUUGGGACUGAGGUUCGGGCCCGAACCCUACGGGAGGCAGCAGUGGGGAAUAUUGCACAAUGGGCGGAAGCCUGAUGCAGCAACGCCGCGUGCGGGAUGACGGCCUUCGGGUUGUAAACCGCUUUCGCCUGUGACGAAGCGUGAGUGACGGUAAUGGGUAAAGAAGCACCGGCUAACUACGUG
rnacentral:rRNA from 1 species